rnacentral:rRNA from 1 species
ACAGAUGGACCCGGGGCGCAUUAGCUAGUUGGUGGGGUAAUGGCUCACCAAGGGGGACGAUGCGUAGCCGACCUGAAGGGUGAUUGGCCACACUGGGACUGAGACACGGCCCAGAUUCCUACGGGAGGCAGCAGUAGGGAAUUUUCCGCAAUGGACGAAAGUCUGACGGAGCAACGCCGCGUGAGUGAUGAAGGUUUUCGGAUCGUAAAGCUCUGUUGUUAGGGAAGAACAAGUGCGAGAGUAACUGCUCGCACCUUGACGGUACCUAACCAGAAAGCCACGGCUAACUACGUGCCAGCAGCCGCGGUAAUACGUAGGUGGCAAGCGUUGUCCGGAAUUAUUGGGCGUAAAGGGCUCGCAGGCGGUUUCUUAAGUCUGAUGUGAAAGCCCCCGGCUCAACCGGGGAGGGUCAUUGGAAACUGGGAAACUUGAGUGCAGAAGAGGAGAGUGGAAUUCCACGUGUAGCGGUGAAAUGCGUAGAGAUGUGGAGGAACACCAGUGGCGAAGGCGACUCUCUGGUCUGUAACUGACGCUGAGGAGCGAAAGCGUGGGGAGCGAACAGGAUUAGAUACCCUGGUAGUCCACGCCGUAAACGAUGAGUGCUAAGUGUUAGGGGGUUUCCGCCCCUUAGUGCUGCAGCUAACGCAUUAAGCACUCCGCCUGGGGAGUACGGUCGCAAGACUGAAACUCAAAGGAAUUGACGGGGGCCCGCACAAGCGGUGGAGCAUGUGGUUUAAUUCGAAGCAACGCGAAGAACCUUACCAGGUCUUGACAUCCUCUGACAACCCUAGAGAUAGGGCUUUCCCUUCGGGGACAGAGUGACAGGUGGUGCAUGGUUGUCGUCAGCUCGUGUCGUGAGAUGUUGGGUUAAGUCCCGCAACGAGCGCAACCCUUGAUCUUAGUUGCCAGCAUUUAGUUGGGCACUCUAAGGUGACUGCCGGUGACAAACCGGAGGAAGGUGGGGAUGACGUCAAAUCAUCAUGCCCCUUAUGACCUGGGCUACACACGUGCUACAAUGGACAGAACAAAGGGCUGCGAGACCGCAAGGUUUAGCCAAUCCCAUAAAUCUGUUCUCAGUUCGGAUCGCAGUCUGCAACUCGACUGCGUGAAGCUGGAAUCGCUAGUAAUCGCGGAUCAGCAUGCCGCGGUGAAUACGUUCCCGGGCCUUGUACACACCGCCCGUCACACCACGAGAGUUUGCAACACCCGAAGUCGGUGAGGUAACCUUUAUGGAG